CCUCUAAAGGAGUCCGAAACUAUCUCCUACAUCUUAGCUGGAUUAAGCACGGAUUAUGAUCCUUUGGUGACUUCGAUUACCACUCGUGUCGACCCUAUCUCCAUGGAAGACCUCUAUGGGCAUUUAUUGACCCAUGAGC